rnacentral:rRNA from 1 species
CGCGUAGGUGGGAUGGUCAGUCAGUGGUGCAAGCCUAGGGCUCAACUUUAGGAUUGCCAUUGAUACUGCCAUUCUUGAGUUCGGAAGAGGAAAGUGGAAUUCCUGGUGUAGCGGUGAAAUGCGUAGAUAUCAGGAAGAACACCGGUGGCGAAGGCGGCUUUCUGGUCCGAUACUGACACUGAUGCGCGAAAGCGUGGGGAGCGAACA